ACUUUGGACAUGUGAACUUUCCUCACACGGACACAACCGAUUAUGAAGACGUUGAAAUGAUGGAUAUUCGAGCCGGUUUCUGGCAGUACCUGGGAACUGUUUGGGUUUGCCCCAGGGUCUCCAGGUUUUUGCCUCAACCUCAGGGUGAAGGGGCAGAUUUUCCACAUCACAUCAUCUGGAGUCAUUUCUAUCUUACACCGCAAUGAUCAUAUAGACUCCAAAUUGGUGCUUUUUGCCCUGUAUGUUGUGGAUAAUAUCCCUGCUUAAAUGCAGGUGACUAUUAAGUCUAUUAAUUGAAAUAAUGACAAGUUAAGGUUUCUAUGAGGGCUGGCAUUACAGCCAUUAGGGCAACACAUUUGACAUAUCACUACAUAUAAUCGGCAUGACGGGCUAUUAAAAGGGUUAAUAUUUCAAGAGUCUCGGGGUCAGCUCAUUUAGAAAGUUCCCAGGUAUAAACAUUCCCCAUUAAUGAUUUAUUCUUUUGUCGUUAAAUGUCACAGGAAGCCAGCCUCAUCUUGCUCAUCUUUUAACCAGCACAGUCUAUGCAACUUGGCCGUUAUACUUGUCUCCGUUUGAUGAAUUUGAAGGUCCCAUUGAUAACCUUCAUCACGCAAGCCAAGAGGUAACUCUCUUCAAGAUUGCCCACUGAGAAACUGAGCAACGCCAGGACGCUAAAAUAUUACUAGGUAAUCGCUUAAACGUUCUUGCCAGAGGAGAGACUUUUUUUUGCGCCUUCUAGGCAAUUGUAGAAAGCAAGACCUGUUACAACUAAUUUCAAAAGAGUGGCCUUUAGUUAAUAAAAAUAUAUUUUAAAAAACCCAUCAAUUUUGAAAAGAUAAAACAGAGAUGCUGUGUCCGGAUUCCAAUACUUUUAUUUUAUUCUUUAAAUUACUUUUAUCCACUCAGUACAUAACGUAAGAUUAAACUGUGAAAUAAAACGAUAAUAUUAUUAUUAGAAUAUAUAUAUAUAUAUUCUCCUUUAUUUCAUGUUCGAGGGCACACUGUAUACAUUUUAACUUAUUCUUAAUACAAUUUGCAGCUAAUAGUACGGUGUCCAUUUAAAAGAUUAAAAGCCAUUGUUUCUAGCAGCAGUAUUUGAUCCACAAAAUCUCCCAGAAUAAAAUAUUUCACACAAAAAAAAAAAAAAAUCUACUGCCACAUGAAAAAUGUGUACAGCCGUUACAUGUGUAAAUUUUGCCAGAAAAUAAAAGAAAAAGAUUAGGUAACAUCUCCAAAAAUAAAUUAAUUUGUUG